GACGUAGGGCGCGAGCGUUGUCCGGAUUUAUUGGGCGUAAAGGGUGUGUAGGUGGCGCGCUAAGUCGGGCGUGAAAUUUCGGAGCUUAACUCCGAAACUGCAUUCGAUACUGGCGUGCUUGAGGACUGGAGAGGAGACUGGAAUUCAUGGUGUAGCAGUGAAAUGCGUAGAGAUCAUGAGGAAGACCAGUGGCGAAGGCGGGUCUCUGGACAGUUCCUGACACUGAGACACGAAGGCCAGGGGAGCAAACGGG
rnacentral:rRNA from 1 species